UACAGAGGGUGCAAGCGUUAAUCGGAGUUACUGGGCGUAAAGGGCGCGUAGGCGGUUAGAUGUGUGAGAUGUGAAAUCCCUGGGCUUAACCUAGGAACUGCAUCUUAAACUGUCUGACUGGAGUACUGUAGAGGGUAGUGGAAUUUCCGGUGUAGCGGUGAAAUGCGUAGAGAUCGGAAGGAACACCAGUGGCGAAGGCGGCUACCUGGACAGAUACUGACGCUGAGGCGCGAGAGCGUGGGGAGCAAACAG
rnacentral:rRNA from 1 species